UGCAUAGGUAUGCUUUGCGUGCUGUAUAUACACACAUAUUUUGCAUUACUACAUCUGAGGCUUGGAAAAUUCUACAGAAAUUAUAGUGAAGGGGUGGAGAAGGAAGAGAGACAACCUGCAGCUCCUCUUUUCAUGGGAAGUUAAAGGCACCUGCCUCAUUAGGCAGGCUCAGAAAGACAUUAAUCUAGAUAAUUUGAUUUACCUACGAGUUCAUUUAAAAAGCAAGCUAAAUUAUGUGAACAAGGACAGAAUAUUUCUACAAAACUUCAAAAAACCCAAAACACAAUGUCACUGAAAUUCAGAUUUAAACGUAACAGCAUAAAAAGGUUUGACACCCUUUGAACUGUCACUGCCUUCCACCUCAAACAUACAUAUUCAAUACCUGCUCCUCCUCCUCACCCCCCCCCCUUUUUUUUUUCAAGUAAAUGUAAAUAAGGAAGUAACAGUGUUAU